GACGAACGCUGGCGGCGUGCUUAACACAUGCAAGUCGAACGGAAAGGCCCUGCUUUUGUGGGGUGCUCGAGUGGCGAACGGGUGAGUAACACGUGAGUAACCUGCCCUUGACUUUGGGAUAACUUCAGGAAACUGGGGCUAAUACCGGAUAGGAGCUCCUGCUGCAUGGUGGGGGUUGGAAAGUUUCGGCGGUUGGGGAUGGACUCGCGGCUUAUCAGCUUGUUGGUGGGGUAGUGGCUUACCAAGGCUUUGACGGGUAGCCGGCCUGAGCGGGUGACCGGCCACAUUGGGACUGCGAUACGGCCCAGACUCCUACGGGAGGCAGCAGUGGGGAGUAUUGCACAAUGGGCGGAAGCCUGAUGCAGCAACGCCGCGUGCGGGAUGACGGCCUUCGGGUUGUAAACCGCUUUCGCAUGUGACGAAGAGUGAGUGACGGUAAUGGGUAAAGAAGCACCGGCUAACUACGUG
rnacentral:rRNA from 1 species